GACAGAGGGUGCAAACGUUGUUCGGAAUUACUGGGCAUAAAGCGCACGUAGGUGGUCUGCUAAGUCGAGUGUGAAAUCCCCCGGCUCAACCGGGGAAUUGCGCUCGAUACUGGCAGGCUCGAGGUUGGUAGGGGUGAGUGGAACUCCAGGUGGGGCGGUGAAAUGCGUAGAUAUCUGGAGGAACACCGGUGGCGAAAGCGGCUCACUGGACCGAAUCUGACACUGAGGUGCGAAAGCUAGGGGAGCAAACAGG
rnacentral:rRNA from 1 species